UUUUUUUUUUUUUUUGCCUUCUUUUAAAUGCUUGCAUGCCACAUCACAGAGGGAAAUUCUAGGAUGUGAACAUUGUCCUAAAACGCAGGAAUUAAGUCAGUUUUCUGUGUUGCUAGAUGCCCAGCAUGCGUAGAAACUGGCUGCGCGUGGUGUAAAAGUGCAAGAAGGUGUAUCCACCCCUUCACAGCUUGCGACCCUUCUGAUUAUGAGAGAAACCAGGAACAGUGUCCAGUGGCUGUCGAGAAGACAUCAGGAGGAGGAAGACCCAAGGAGAACAAGGGGAACAGAACCAACCAGGCUUUACAGGUCAGACCCUAUUUUUGUGUGGUUGAGGGGAAAACCUGUCUUUGAAUGACCAUGACCACAACUCAUACUACUUUGGGUUCCUUAAAAAAAUUCUCUAUUUUACUUUCUACCAAAAUUCCCUUUUGUGUCUUUGGUUUUUUAACCAAGUUUCACUUAAUUAGCGCAAUACAUCAAUGGCUGGACACUCACAUAAAAUAAAUUAAAACUCUGUAAUUAUG
rnacentral:lncRNA from 1 species